CUGUUUUUUGUGCUGGAAAUCGUUUCAAUCAUUAGCUAUUCGAUCUAUCGUCGUCUUAGCUUCAUGACGCUGCUGUUAAGUUUGGUGUUUGUAAAGCUGUCAGCUAAUAUUAUUCUGUGAGUUGCUUCCUCUUAAGUCUUAAUGAAGCUGUCUCAUGGCAUUACUUGCUUGCCUGCUGAUGUAGCUGGUGAUUUAUUCAUCAAUUAUCAGCCCUCUCCAUCCUUCUGCCAUAGAACACAUACAGUGCAACUCUCCUUCUAUUAGUAAAGCCCCCAUCGUCACCAUCUUCCUUCAUUCUCCCAGCUUAAAUUCAUGAAUGGUUUACCAAUCAAAAUGGAUCAAAUUGUGUCUCCAUAUCUAAAUCUCAUUCGGAGUUGUUGUUUCUGGUAGUAUAGUGAUUAUUAUUUGGAAAAUCCCCUUUCAUUGUGUAUGUUGGAGCAUAUGUAGCAAACAAGGGUCAUUUCUCUUCUCUUAGUAUAUUUUCUGACAUGAACAGCUAGUGUAACUAUCUUCAAUAAUUUAUGCAGAUUCGUUUGGAUUGCUAUGUUUUAUCUGAUAAAUUUGGUGUUCCUAAUGUGUUGACUGGCAAGGUUUGUGAUGGUUUUAAUAUUGUUCCACUGGUUCAUUUGGCAUUUAUUAGAAUUGUUUGACUAGUAUCAAAAGUAAGAUCCAAUGUUGCUAUCUCACUAUUGUUCUGGGUUCAUUUGGUAUUUAUUAGAAUUGUUUGACUAGUAUCAAAAGUAAGAUCCUAUGUUGCUAUCUCACCAUUGUUCUGGCUCUACAUUAGUUAUAGUGGAUUAAUGACUGGUUGGACUGUAUGCCCAGUUUGGACCAUAGAUAAUUUAAUAAUUUUCAAAUGAAUAGGUAGUUUGGAUCGCCUAAUUGGAUUUCGGAUUUAUUGGUAUAGUAUGAGCCAAAUAUUGGGCUCACUUGGUAAGAACC
rnacentral:lncRNA from 1 species